rnacentral:tRNA from 2 species
GAGCCUAUAGCUCAGGGGAUAGAGCACUGGUCUCCGGAACCAGGCGCCCAGGUUCGAAUCCUGGUAGGCUCGCCA